rnacentral:rRNA from 1 species
GAUAAACGCUAGCGGCAGGCUUAACACAUGCAAGUCGAGGGGCAGCAUAGAUUGUAGCAAUACAAUUGGUGGCGACCGGCGCACGGGUGCGUAACGCGUAUGCAACCUACCCGUCACAGGGGGAUAAUCCGGAGCAAUCUGGUCUAAUACCCCAUAACAUAUGGAUCGGCUUCGGUUCAUGUUGAAAUUUUAGGAGGUGACGGAUGGGCAUGCGUAGCAUUAGCUUGUUGGUGAGGUAACGGCUCACCGAGGCGACGAUGCUUAGGGGGACUGAGAGGUUUUCCCCCCACACUGGUACUGAGACACGGACCAGACUCCUACGGGAGGCAGCAGUGAGGAAUAUUGGUCAAUGGGCGCAAGCCUGAACCAGCCAUGCCGCGUGCAGGAUGACGGCUCUAUGAGUUGUAAACUGCUUUUGUACGAGGGUAAAGUGGGUUACGUGUAACCUUUUGAAAGUAUCGUAAGAAUAAGGAUCGGCUAACUCCGUGCCAGCCGCCGCCGUAA